GAUGAACGCUGGCGGCGUGCCUAAUACAUGCAAGUCGAGCGAAUGGAUUAAGAGCUUGCUCUUAUGAAGUUAGCGGCGGACGGGUGAGUAACACGUGGGUAACCUGCCCAUAAGACUGGGAUAACUCCGGGAAACCGGGGCUAAUACCGGCUAACAUUUUGAACCGCAUGGUUCGAAAUUGAAAGGCGGCUUCGGCUGUCACUUAUGGAUGGACCCGCGUCGCAUUAGCUAGUUGGUGAGGUAAAGGCUCACCAAGGCAACGAUGCGUAGCCGACCUGAGAGGGUGAUCGGCCACACUGGGACUGAGACACGGCCCAGACUCCUACGGGAGGCAGCAGUAGGGAAUCUUCCGCAAUGGACGAAAGUCUGACGGAGCAACGCCGCGUGAGUGAUGAAGGCUUUCGGGUCGUAAAACUCUGUUGUUAGGGAAGAACGAGUGCUAGUUGAAUAAGCUGGCACCUUGACGGUACCUAACCAGAAAGCCACGGCUAACUACGUGCCAGCAGCCGCCGUAA
rnacentral:rRNA from 1 species